GAUGAACGCUGGCGGCGUGCCUAAUACAUGCAAGUCGAGCGAACAGACGAGGAGCUUGCUCCUCUGACGUUAGCGGCGGACGGGUGAGUAACACGUGGAUAACCUACCUAUAAGACUGGGAUAACUUCGGGAAACCGGAGCUAAUACCGGAUAACAUGUUGAACCGCAUGGUUCAACAGUGAAAGACGGUCUUGCUGUCACUUAUAGAUGGAUCCGCGCCGCAUUAGCUAGUUGGUAAGGUAACGGCUUACCAAGGCAACGAUGCGUAGCCGACCUGAGAGGGUGAUCGGCCACACUGGAACUGAGACACGGUCCAGACUCCUACGGGAGGUAGCAGUAGGGAAUCUUCCGCAAUGGGCGAAAGCCUGACGGAGCAACGCCGCGUGAGUGAAGAAGGUCUUCGGAUCGUAAAACUCUGUUAUUAGGGAAGAACAAAUGUGUAAGUAACUAUGCACGUCUUGACGGUACCUAAUCAGAAAGCCACGGCUAACUACGUG
rnacentral:rRNA from 1 species